rnacentral:tRNA from 1 species
UUAAAAGUAAGCUAAAGUAAGCUAAUGGGUUCAUACCCCAUGCAUGGAAAUAUUCCCUUUUAAU